UCGUUCGAAGAGUUAAACUUUCUUUUAACCAUCAGUUGUAUAGGACUUUGGAAAAGUAGCUUUGCCUUGUGUAGGGAUCUUCAAGACAGCUUGUAAGACUAAUUUUUUUUGUAUACCUUGUGUAUAGCAGAUUAUAAACUGUACAGAUCCUGCAAACUUUUGUUUUACCAAUGGGAUUGUCCCUUUCUUUAGUUA